rnacentral:rRNA from 1 species
UACGGAGGGUGCGAGCGUUGUCCGGAAUCACUGGGCGUAAAGGGCGCGUAGGUGGCUACUCAAGCGCGCGGUGAAAGCCCGGGGCUCAACCCCGGGUCGGCCGUGCGGACUGGGAGCUCGAGCACUGUAGGGGCGGGUGGAAUUCCGGGUGUAGCGGUGGAAUGCGUAGAUAUUCGCAAGAACACCAGUGGCGAAGGCGGACUCACUGGCCCGAUACUGACGCUGAGGCACGAAAGCGUGGGGAGCAAACAGGG